GGAUGUCCCAGGCUGAGUUUGAGAAAGCUGCCGAGGAGGUUAAGCACCUCAAGACCAAGCCAGCAGAUGAUGAGAUGCUGUUCAUCUACGGCCACUACAAACAAGCGACUGUGGGCGAUGUAAAUACAGAACGGCCUGGGAUGUUGGACUUCAAAGGCAAGGCCAAGUGGGAUGCCUGGAAUGAGCUGAAAGAGACUACCGAGGAAGAUGCCAUGAAAGCUUACAUCAACAAAGCAGAAGAGCUAAAGAGAAAAUAUGGAAUAUAA